UGGGCUUGAUCUCAAUGAAGCAGGCAGAGAGCAGAAGUGUCAGAGGAAAUGCAGGCAAUGUGGGACUAGGGGUGCCUGAGUAGGGGUGACCUGUGAAGGACAAAUCUCCUGCCUGAAGAAGAACAUCCCCCUCAGCAGUCUGUAUUGCUAUCCUGAGGAAACCCCUUCAGAGCUGCUGCCACAGAAAACCAGAACAAGUUCCUUCUUGAUCUCAUCAAGACCUAGCUGGGAACUCAUUCUCCAGUGUGUUCCUUUGCAAAGAGUAUAGAAAUGGAACUCACAGGGCUGAGCCUCUAGCUUUGUUGGCAGAAUUCUUGCCUCACAUUCAAGAAGCCUGGAUUUGAUCCCCAACACCAAUAAACUGAGUGUGGUGUUACAGGCCUGUAAUCCAGCGCCUAGGAGGCAGAGGCAAGGGGAGAAGAAGCUGAAGAUCAUCUUCCACUAUACAAGAGUUAAACGCCACUAGUCCGACCUAGUCGUCACUAUGUCCAGCUCUCGGGCUCUGCAAUAGUCUCUACCAUGAAAGCCCACACUUCUCAGAAGUAUGCUGCUCUGAUUCUGUCUUCCAGCAGUCGGGAGAACAUUUUUUAUUUUUGU